rnacentral:rRNA from 1 species
AUUAAAGAGUUCUAUAACUCCCAAACCCAUGUGAACAUACCUAACGUUGCCUCGGCAGGUCGCACCUACCUUGUAGCACCCUACCCUGUAGGGCCUACCCGGGAGGUGCGGGUAAGCCUGCCGGCGGCCCACCAAACUCUGUUUGAUAUUGAAUUCUGAACCUAUAACUAAAUAAGUUAAAACUUUCAACAACGGAUCUCUUGGUUCUGGCAUCGAUGAAGAACGCAGCGAAAUGCGAUAAGUAAUGUGAAUUGCAGAAUUCAGUGAAUCAUCGAAUCUUUGAACGCAUAUUGCGCCCAUUAGUAUUCUAGUGGGCAGGACCGUUCGAGCGUCAUUUCAACCCUUAAGCCUUCGUUGCUUAGUGUUGGGAGCCUACGGCAACGUAGCUCCUCAAAGUUAGUGGCGGAGUUGGUUCACACUCUAGACGUAGUAAUUUUUUAUCUCGCCUAUUAGUUGGACUAAUCCCCUGCCGUAAAACCCCCAAUUUAUAUCAAGGUUGACCUCGAAUCGGUUCAGACAAACUCGCUAAAUUGAAGCAUCUUAGUCAGCGAAGGAAAAGAAACCAACAGG